UACGUAGGGGGCUAGCGUUGUCCGGAAUCAUUGGGCGUAAAGAGCGUGUAGGCGGCCCGGUAAGUCCGCUGUGAAAGUCGGGGGGCUCAACCCUCGAAUGCCGGUGGAUACUGUCGGGCUAGAGUGCGGAAGAGGCGAGUGGAAUUCCUGGUGUAGCGGUGAAAUGCGGCAGAUAUCAGGAGGAACACCGAUUGCGAAGGCAGCUCGCUGGGACGUCACUGACGCUGGAGACGCGAAAGCGUGGGGAGCGAACAGG
rnacentral:rRNA from 1 species